AAUAGCCCUAAAUGCCACCAAUUUUAUAAUUUUUUGUCAAAAUACCACCCCUCCCCAAAAUUUUUAAAACUACCACCUAUAAAUACAUCUUUAUUGUAAACUGAUUGCACCCAUAUCACUUUUUCAGAAAUUGGGUUCUCUCUCAACUCUCUUGGCUCUGUCUCUCUCUUUAGCCUAGCUCUCUCUCUCUCUCUCUCUCUCUCUCUCUCUCUCUCCGACAUAGUCAUCUUCCUCCCUCAGCCAUCCAAGCUUAACUCCACAGUUCACAUCCACGAGGUACUGUUCACGUUCCUUUUCUUAGAAAUUUGGGGUUUUUGUGAAUUUGGUUUAUGAUGUAUGGAUUUGUAUGAAAUUGGUUUAGGGGUUUCUUCCAAAUUGGUUUGAUAGGAAGGUGAUGUUGUUGUUGCUGUCGCUGACAGACUGUUUUUCCUGGGUUGUUUUUGGUGGGUGUUACUGCGAAUGCUUACAAGGUUGCUGAUUCUCCUUCUAAGGUCUCUCUUUCUCUCUAUUUCGUCAAAUUCUAAGGUUUUUUUUGUUUUUUUUUGGGGUUACUUUUUUUUGAUUUCUUUUGCUAAUUGUAAUUGGGCCUUUGUUGCAGAGGUGGAUUUGUUUUGUGCCCAAAAGAUUGUGACUUUGUUGAAAGUUCGUAAAUGGAAAAGGCAGCUGCCCCCUACGGCUUGGAACGCUCAAUUCGGAGGGUCUGAAGAACAACCAUGUAGUAAGAAAGUUGGAGAAGCAUCAACAGAUUUGCACCCUUGACCAACAUAUUGAAGAGCAAUUUGGUGGUGGUUGUCUGUUGGCUUGUAUCUCAUCACAACCUAGAUAGUGGCUGUGCUGAUGGGAUGGGAAAACAUUGGACAAUGAGUUGGAGGUUGUUAAGGGAAUGAAGCUAGACAGGGGCUACAUAUCCUCUUAUUUCAUCACCAACCAGAACAAUCAGAAAUGUGAAUUGGAAAAUCCUCUAAUCAUAAUCCAUGAGAAGAAAAUCUCAAGUAUUAAUGCUGUGGUUAAAGUAUUGGAGUUGGU